rnacentral:rRNA from 1 species
UACGGAGGGGGCUAGCGUUGUUCGGAAUUACUGGGCGUAAAGCGCGCGUAGGCGGACCUGCAAGUCGGGGGUGAAAGCCCGAGGCUCAACCUCGGAACUGCCUUCGAUACUGCGGGUCUCGAGUCCGGGAGAGGUGAGUGGAAUUCCUAGUGUAGAGGUGAAUUUCGUAGAUAUUAGGAAGAACACCAGUGGCGAAGGCGGCUCACUGGCCCGGUACUGACGCUGAGGCGCGAAAGCGUGGGGAGCAAACAGG